GGACGGGAUAGGAGAGCUUGCUUUCCUUGAGAGUGGCGCACGGGUGCGUAACACGUAUGUAACCUACCUUGAUCAGGGGGAUAGCCUCUCGAAAGAGAGAUUAAGACCGCAUAACAUUAUGUUGUGGCAUCGCAAUAUAAUCAAAUAUUUAUAGGAUCAAGAUGGGCAUGCGGAACAUUAGCUAGUUGGUAAGGUAACGGCUUACCAAGGCUACGAUGUUUAGGGGAUCUGAGAGGAUGACCCCCCACACUGGUACUGAGACACGGACCAGACUCCUACGGGAGGCAGCAGUAAGGAAUAUUGGUCAAUGGACGGAAGUCUGAACCAGCCAUGCCGCGUGCAGGAAGACGGCCCUACGGGUUGUAAACUGCUUUUGUACCGGAAUAAACCUUUCUUCGUGAAGGAAGCUGAAUGUACGGUAAGAAUAAGGAUCGGCUAACUCCGUGCCAGCAGCCGCGGUAAUACGGAGGAUCCAAGCGUUAUCCGGAUUUAUUGGGUUUAAAGGGUGCGUAGGCGGCUUUUUAAGUCAGGGGUGAAAGACGGUAGCUCAACUAUCGCAGUGCCCUUGAUACUGAAGAGCUUGAAUGUACUUGAGUA
rnacentral:rRNA from 1 species